rnacentral:sRNA from 1 species
GCGGCCGCCUCCUCUUCGGGGCCAUUAAAGCCAAUGAGCCGCGCGCCUCUGCCGAGCGCAGCCAACUAAAUCGGCUUGGAUGAUUCGCGACCUGAGCAAGAUGUACCCGCAGACCAGACACCCGGCACCGCAUCAGCCUGCUCAACCCUUUAAAUUUACAAUUUCCGAAUCCUGUGAUCGGAUUAAGGAAGAGUUUCAGUUUUUACAGGCUCAAUACCACAGUCUGAAGCUGGAAUGUGAGAAACUCGCCAGUGAGAAGACAGAGAUGCAGCGGCAUUAUGUCAUGGUAAGAAAACCAUGUCACAGAUUCAAAGUGCCUAUUAGUUUGGAAUACCAAAAACAAGAAUACGUUUAAAUUGCUGGAGGCUGCAAGAUAGAU